AUUCAUCAAGGUCUUAUUAGACAACCUGUGUUACAGUCCAGCUCUGGAGUAAUCAUGUAAUUAAUGGCUGAUUAAAUGAAUCUGACGUACAGCGACUCAAACAGUGUUCGGACACUAUGACUUACAGCUUGUCUAAAUUAUGUAACAUUAAGAACUAAUUUGAUAUUGAACUAUAUACACUACACUUAGAAUUUAUUUAAAGAAAAAAAUACUUUUAUUCAUCAAGGAUGCAUUAAAUUGUUCAGAAGUGACAGUAAAGACAUUUAUAAUGUUACAGUAGAUUUCUGUUUCAAAUAAAUGCUGUUCUUUUGAACUUUCUAUUCAUCUGUGAAUGCUGAAAAAUAAAAUGCAUCACAAUUUCCACAAAAAUAUUGUGCAGCACAACUGUGUUCAACAUUGAUAAUAAUCAGAAAUGUUUCUUGAGCAGCAAAUCAUCAUAUUAUUAUGAUUUCUGAAGAUCAUGUGACACUGAAGACUGGAGUAAUGAUGCUGAAAAUACAGCUGCACAUCACAGAAAUAAAUUACACUUUAACAGAGAUUCACAUAGAAAACAGCUGUUUGAAUUUAUAAUAAUAUUUCACUGUAAUAACUGUAUUUUUGAUCAAAUAAAUGAAGCCUUGGUGAACAGAAGAGAGUCUUUCAGAAACAUUACAAAAUCCUACUGACCCCAAACUUUUUGCUUCAUGUUUUGAAUCUCCAGAGCUUGAUGUUGUGAGGUUGCAGUGAGCUUGUGCUGUGUUUCUCCAGGAAUCCUCUGUGACUGAGCUCUGCUGCUUCAUUUAAUGAGUGCUAAAGCGGCGGGUCAUUGUGUGAUUCAGUCUCCGGUCAGCAGGACGUCUCAUGAAUGCAGGGUCGCACCGGAGGACGGUGUGUAAUGAGCUCAUCAGCAUUCAAUGUUCACUGAUGGACUGGAGUGCUGUGGAUUACUUGUGGAUUAUUGUGAUGUUUUUAUCAGCUGUUUGGACUCUCAUUCUGACGGCACCCAUUCACUGCAGAGCAUCCAUUGCUGAGACACUGAUGCAGUGCUGCAUUUCUACAAACCUGAUGAAGACACACACUCAUCCUGAUCUCAGAUGAACUGAGGGUGAACACAUUUUCAGUUUUAGCUGAACUAUGUUUUGAAAAAGCCAUCUUAUUUACCUCUGAAAAGUGCAUAAUAGCACUUUAAGGGUGCAUAUCACUUUUAAUAUGCACUUUUGAGUUGACCUUUUAAGACUACUACUGCUGUUGCUCCACCAAAAGUAAUCCUUUUUGCACAUUUGUUUCUGACAGAAUUAUCUAGAUGCAAAUGUAUAUAGAAAUGCAUAUUUAAUGUUGACAAAGAAAGAAAGUCACACAGAUAAAGUGUUUAGCGCAUGUGAGUGAGUGACGUGACAUACAGCCAAGUAUGGUGACCCAUACUCAGAAUUCGUGCUCUGCACUUAACCCAUCCAAAGUGCACACACACAGAGCAGUGAACACACACACACUGUGAACACACACCCGGAGCAGUGGGUAUCAUUUAUGCUGCGGCGCCCGGGGAGCAGUUGGGGGUUCAGUGUCUUGCUCAAGGACACCUCAGUCGUGGUAUUACCGGCCCGAGACUCGAACCCACAACCUUAGGGUUAGGAGUCAAACUCUCUAACCACUAGGCCACGAAGUGAAAUUAGCAUGAGAACAGAGCAGCAAAAAAAAUAUAUCAAUAUAUUUAUGAUAUGUGUUAAAUAUUAAUUAAAUCGUAUUAAUUGGUAAUACAAUUUGUGAUAAUAAUUGUGUAAAAAAAAUACUGAAAUAUGUAAAAGAAUGUAAUCUCCUAAGGUAAAUUGUUAUGGUUGCUACACACACACACACACACACACACACACACACAGGCUAAUGUGCAGCAGGGGGCUGUUGUUGCCCAUGGUUACAGAUGUUAUAGAAUAACUGGACAGGUGUGUGUGUGUGUGUGUGUGUGUGUGUGUGUGUGUGUGUGUGUGUGUGUGUGUGUGUGUGUGUGUCGGUGUGUGUGUGUGUGUGUGUUUCAGGUAUUGACGUCAAACAGUCCCCCCACAGAAACACACACUCACUCAGUUUGAUUGUGUUUGAUUCUGAUGAUUUCUGCUUUCAUUCAUUCGCUCUGGACCCUGUAUCCCCCCUCCCACCCCCCACCCUCUCUCUCAUUCCUUCACAGUCUCUCUCUCUCUCUCUCUCUCUCUCUGACGUCUGUUCUCUGUCUGUCAUUCACUCAGAUGCUCUUCACUAGCUGCAGUCAAGUGUGUGUGUGUGUGUGUGGUCAAACGAGCAUAAAUGAGUGCUUCUAGCAUCAAUUAAAUUCUCAGAGUGCUCAAGGUGAAACUCACUCACACACACUCACUCCUUUAUUCUCCUUUCAUCCGCUCUUUUCUUCUCCCCUCACUUUAAGCAGGCUUCCGGAAGUGAGCGCUCGCUGACCAAAUAUGGACAUCCUGCUGAGAGCGAGAGACCUGCGCUGGAGCCUCCAGUCUGUCUCUCUCUCUCUCUCAAGCCAUUCAU
ensembl:lncRNA